rnacentral:rRNA from 1 species
CUCGUAGGCGGCCAACUAAGUCAGACGUGAAAUCCCUCGGCUUAACCGGGGAACUGCGUCUGAUACUGGAUGGCUUGAAUCCGGGAGAGGGAUGUGGAAUUCCAGGUGUAGCGGUGAAAUGCGUAGAUAUCUGGAGGAACACCGGUGGCGAAGGCGGCAUCCUGGACCGGUAUUGACGCUGAGUGAGCGAAAGCCAGGGGAGCAAACG